GAUGAACGCUGGCGGCGUGCCUAAUACAUGCAAGUCGAGCGAACAGACGAGGAGCUUGCUCCUCUGACGUUAGCGGCGGACGGGUGAGUAACACGUGAAUAACCUACCUAUAAGACUGGGAUAACUUCGGGAAACCGGAGCUAAUACCGGAUAAUAUAUUGAACCGCAUGGUUCAAUAGUGAAAGACGGUUUUGCUGUCACUUAUAGAUGGAUCCGCGCCGCAUUAGCUAGUUGGUAAGGUAACGGCUUACCAAGGCGACGAUGCGUAGCCGACCUGAGAGGGUGAUCGGCCACACUGGAACUGAGACACGGUCCAGACUCCUACGGGAGGCAGCAGUAGGGAAUCUUCCGCAAUAGGCGAAAGCCUGACGGAGCAACGCCGCGUGAGUGAUGAAGGUCUUCGGAUCGUAAAACUCUGUUAUUAGGGAAGAACAAAUGUGUAAGUAACUAUGCACGUCUUGACGGUACCUAAUCAGAAAGCCACGGCUAACUACGUG
rnacentral:rRNA from 1 species